GAUGUCGACUCCUACGGGAGGCAGCAGUGGGAAUAUUGCACAAUGGGCGCAAGCCUGAUGCAGCCAUGCCGCGUGUAUGAAGAAGGCCUUCGGGUGUAAAGUACUUUCAGCAGUGAGGAAGGUGGAUAUGUUAAUAGCAUAUUCAUUUGACGUUAGCUGCAGAAGAAGCACCGGCUAACUCCGUGCCAGCAGCCGCGGUAAUACGGAGGGUGCGAGCGUUAAUCGGAAUUACUGGGCGUAAAGCGCAUGCAGGUGGUUUGUUAAGUCAGAUGUGAAAGCCCGGGGCUCAACCUCGGAAUUUGCAUUUGAAACUGGCAAACUAGAGUACUGUAGAGGGGGUAGAAUUUCAGGUGUAGCGGUGAAAUGCGUAGAGAUCUGAAGGAAUACCGGUGGCGAAGGCGGCCCCCUGGACAGAUACUGACACUCAGAUGCGAAAGCGUGGGGAGCAAACAGGAUUAGAUACCCUGGUAG
rnacentral:rRNA from 1 species